UACGAAGGGGGCUAGCGUUGCUCGGAAUCACUGGGCGUAAAGCGCACGUAGGCGGAUCUUUAAGUCAGGGGUGAAAUCCCAAGGCUCAACCUUGGAACUGCCUUUGAUACUGGGGAUCUCGAGUCCGGAAGAGGUUGGUGGAACUGCGAGUGUAGAGGUGAAAUUCGUAGAUAUUCGCAAGAACACCAGUGGCGAAGGCGGCCAACUGGUCCGGUACUGACGCUGAGGUGCGAAAGCGUGGGGAG
rnacentral:rRNA from 1 species